UGAAAAAUUCGCUGCAAACUACUUAAGCUAGUAACAAAAUGUAUUAAACAUAUGAUUAUCGUAUUUAGUGGAAUGAUAUGUUUUUCUUUAUAUAUAACAUUGCACUUUGUUACAUAUUAAUUGUAAGCUGCCCCAGGGGUAUGUUGCUGGAAAUAAGCAAAAAGAAGCUAAUCUGAAUAAAUAAGUAGAUAUUUGCGAAAUAAAAAUCUUCAGUGAUACAUUUUGCCUCGAGCAGUAUUAGGCUAGUUUACAGUUCUGUUUACAAUAGAUUACGAAAUUAAUGCUAGUAUCUGGCUACCAACUUUCACUACAGAGUUGGCCAACUCGCCGAUCUCACAGCUUCUACGACUCUCCAGUUGCUAGUCUGAGCACUCUUACAACUCAAUUCUCGUCGUAUACAACUCCUACAACCGAUUAGUUGUUAAUCUGAGCGCACUCGUCGUAAGUCAGGAGUGGGGGAAAUUACAACGCUACUGUCGAGUUGCCCAACUCCGUCGUGACAGCUGAUAGUCUGACCCUAGCAUUACUUGUCACCAUCGUGGGGCGUGCUACAGGAAAAUUACAAAAUGAUAAAAAAGGUGUCAUAUUAAACUGUUCCAUAGUAAAGAUAAAUUAAGCAACGAUUCGUGGUUUUUUACUUCGUAGUUCUAGACUAUUACGUCAUGAAAUAAUGAAAUAUUAAUAUAAUUAAAUAUAAUUUCUGAAUUCCAGUAUGAAAUUUUACUACAGUAAAUGGAAAAAUACACUUCCAUUAAAACGCGAAACUUAUGUAUAAAAGUAAGGGAUUUAAUUUUUUUUUUUAAAUGCGUUUUAAAUAGUAUACUGAACACUAUUUAAAAAAACCGACCAAAAAAACCCCCCAAAACCCCCAACAAAAAAAAACCAUUGAAAAAAUUAUCGAACUACCAAAACAGCAAGCAGUAACCACAGAGGCAGGUUUAGAUACAGUGAAACCUCUCAAAACUGGACCCUCUGUAAACCGGAAUUCCCAUCAAACCGGACAUUUGUCACGGUCCUUUAAAAAAAAUUGAUACAUAAUUUAACCUAUCUUAACCGGAUACAUCUUAAUACCGGAUAUUUUACUUGGUCCCGAGGAUGUCCGGUUUAGAGGGGUUUCACUGUAUAUUAUUGUACUAUGUUAUUUAGAGUGAGUCUGAACAUCUAGAUUUUUUACAUAUAUAAAAAAAUAAUAAAAAAGAAAGAAAGAAAGGGGAAAAAAAGACUAAACUAAAUAAUAAAUUAAUUCACAAUACACUGCGUAGGAAAUACGCCUGUCUUAAACAAAACUGUCUCUAACGUCACAAUCACGUCACGUGUUGGUAAGCUGUCUUGACUAUAGCUGACGUCACAAUAUAUCACGAUGGUAACUAUCACGGCUGUCGUUGACGUUACAAUAAUGUUGCAACUGUUUCUGACGUAUGAAGAAUGCAUGUAUACGUAUAGCUUUCCCAUAAAACUUUUAUACAUAAUAAACAUGAGAAUGUUUACGCGACAGCAGUAAUUUAAACUGACUGGAAGCCGUUAAAAUAUAAAUGCAGUGAAGGAAAUUUGACGAAGUAUCGCAUGCGCGCAUAUCUGCAUUAUACAAGAUAUCAGGAAGCAACACUGAAAUUCCCCAUGGUUCCAUUUACCCUGUACCCCAGCAAGGACGGAUCUAGGAUAUCCCAAGAGAGGGCGUCGAGCAUUCAACCCUUGACAUACACCAUAGAAAGAUAUUUCAACCCGAUAAAAAAGUGCCCUGGGGGCAUCGAAAAUAUUGCUCUACAUCUUAGCCUAUGAUGCUCUCCCCCUCCUUCCAAAAAAGUCAUCAGACACGCUUGCUGUAUACUUGCACAUAUGGGCGCUGAUCACAAACACACGCCAGACACCACAAUGAUCUAUGGCUGGGUCAAUAAGUGGAGUGAGGACCGGACUCUUUCAUGUUCUCCCUAGAUCCGCCCUGCUCUAAUACAAAUCAUCUAUUCUGAAACCAUUCUUCACUGGGGUUAAGCUGGACCAGGAAUUCACAGAGCUGUACGGAAUGUUACCAACAUAAUACAAUAGUUAAACUGGGUUUUUCACUGUCUACAGUUUCAAGAACACGGAUAAUUGACUGAAUAGUCCACUUGUUUCAACAUUUGUUUCAGCGUUUUCGUUUACUGGAAUACAAUAAUUGUUUUAAUGUUUGUUCCCCAUCUACAAGUGCUUCAUUGUUUAGUUCACUAAAUUACACUCGUUUCAGUGUUGAUGUUUCUGAAAUACAAUUCCACUGAGGUUUCAUACACAUUAUCAACUAAAUUCCAUGACAGUUUUCUUCUUCAGAAUUUCAAAGCUUUCUCAACAACCAUUAACAUAAUAUUGAAACGUUUUCAUGUGAAUUACAGCUAUUCUUGUGUUACUGUAAAUUGGAAAAAUGACCUUUCUUCCAGAAUUGUGCAAAUUCCACGGCUUUACAAGAUUUCUGCGUUCCUGACAAUGAAGUACCAGUGUGUUAUCGACAAGUAUUAAUUACACAUUUUCCAGAAUUUUCCAUGAUCCACCUAAAAAUUGCAUGACAUUCCAGGCCUGCAUGGCAAUGGCAAAUUCCACGACUUUCCAUGAUGUCUUCGACACCUUUGUUAAGUACACUCGUUUUAGUAUUUACUUCACUGAAUUACACUCGUAUCUUCCAGGAUUUUCCAGGAUUUUCUAUGAUCCGUAUGAACCAUGUCAAUGAAGUACCAAUGUGUCAUGGACACCCUUUGUUGAAUACACUCUUUACAAAUUACUCGUAUCUUCUACGAUUUUCCAGGAUUUUCUAUGAUCCAUGUCAAUGAAGUACCAAGGUGUCAUGGACACCAUUUGUUAAAUACACUCUUUACAGAA
rnacentral:lncRNA from 1 species